AUUGAACGCUGGCGGCAGGCCUAACACAUGCAAGUCGAGCGGAUGAAGGGAGCUUGCUCCUGGAUUCAGCGGCGGACGGGUGAGUAAUGCCUAGGAAUCUGCCUGGUAGUGGGGGAUAACGUCCGGAAACGGGCGCUAAUACCGCAUACGUCCUGAGGGAGAAAGUGGGGGAUCUUCGGACCUCACGCUACCAGAUGAGCCUAGGUCGGAUUAGCUAGUUGGUGGGGUAAAGGCCUACCAAGGCGACGAUCCGUAACUGGUCUGAGAGGAUGAUCAGUCACACUGGAACUGAGACACGGUCCAGACUCCUACGGGAGGCAGCAGUGGGGAAUACUGGACAAUGGGCGAAAGCCUGAUCCAGCCAUGCCGCGUGUGUGAAGAAGGUCUUCGGAUUGUAAAGCACUUUAAGUUGGGAGGAAGGGCAGUAAGUUAAUACCUUGCUGUUUUGACGUUACCAACAGAAUAAGCACCGGCUAACUUCGUG
rnacentral:rRNA from 1 species